AUGCGNGNCCUAAUCAUGCAAGUCGAGCGAACAGACGAGGAGCUUGCUCCUCUUGACGUUAGCGGCGGACGGGUGAGUAACACGUGGAUAACCUACCUAUAAGACUGGGAUAACUUCGGGAAACCGGAGCUAAUACCGGAUAAUAUAUUGAACCGCAUGGUUCAAUAGUGAAAGACGGUUUUGCUGUCACUUAUAGAUGGAUCCGCGCCGCAUUAGCUAGUUGGUAAGGUAACGGCUUACCAAGGCAACGAUGCGUAGCCGACCUGAGAGGGUGAUCGGCCACACUGGAACUGAGACACGGUCCAGACUCCUACGGGAGGCAGCAGUAGGGAAUCUUCCGCAAUGGGCGAAAGCCUGACGGAGCAACGCCGCGUGAGUGAUGAAGGUCUUCGGAUCGUAAAACUCUGUUAUUAGGGAAGAACAAAUGUGUAAGUAACUAUGCACGUCUUGACGGUACCUAAUCAGAAAGCCACGGCUAACUACGUGCCAGCAGCCGCGGUAAUACGUAGGUGGCAAGCGUUAUCCGGAANUUAUUGGGCGUAAAGCGCGCGUAGGCGGUUUUUUAAGUCUGAUGUGAAAGCCCACGGCUCAACCGUGGAGGGUCAUUGGAAACUGGAAAACUUGAGUGCAGAAGAGGAAAGUGGAAUUCCAUGUGUAGCGGUGAAAUGCGCAGAGAUAUGGAGGAACACCAGUGGCGAAGGCGACUUUCUGGUCUGUAACUGACGCUGAUGUGCGAAAGCGUGGGGAUCAAACAGGAUUAGAUACCCUGGGUAGUCCACGCCGUAAACGAUGAGUGCUAAGUGUUAGGGGGUUUCCGCCCCUUAGUGCUGCAGCUAACGCAUUAAGCACUCCGCCUGGGGAGUACGANCCGCAAGGUUGAAACCCAAAGNGAAUUGACGGGGACCCGCACAAGCGGUGGAGCAUGUGGUUUAAUUCGAAGCAACGCGAAGAACCUUACCAAAUCUUGACAUCCUCUGACCCCUCUAGAGAUAGAGUUUUCCCCUUCGGGGGACAGAGUGACAGGUGGUGCAUGGUUGUCGUCAGCUCGUGUCGUGAGAUGUUGGGUUAAGUCCCGCAACGAGCGCAACCCUUAAGCUUAGUUGCCAUCAUUAAGUUGGGCACUCUAAGUUGACUGCCGGUGACAAACCGGAGGAAGGUGGGGAUGACGUCAAAUCAUCAUGCCCCUUAUGAUUUGGGCUACACACGUGCUACAAUGGACAAUACAAAGGGUAGCGAAACCGCGAGGUCAAGCAAAUCCCAUAAAGUUGUUCUCAGUUCGGAUUGUAGUCUGCAACUCGACUAUAUGAAGCUGAAUCGCUGUAUC
rnacentral:rRNA from 1 species